GAUUUCUUUUGAAAUUUUGGUUUGUGUGUUUCAAUUGAAUUAUUUUUAGAGAUUAUUUCAAUUAUCAAUUAUAUAUAGUUAUUUAUUAUUAUAAUCAAUUAUAUGAAAUUUUAAUGUCAGGACUUUGGACAUGUUAGGUGAAAACUAGUUUUAAGAUAAUCUAUUUUGUUUAGAUUGUCUAAAGUAAUCAUUUUUGUUAUAGUAAAAUUACUAUAAAAAAAAAGGUAUGAGCUAUGAACUUAUUUGUAGUGGUUGACUCUGCAUUUAAAUUAAUCAAUUGUUAGUGACAAAAUAGGAAAAUAGAAGUUAGCUAGAAAGUUAUUUGUUAGGUAUUAACCAUAUUCUUCAAAAUCUUGCUUAUUUGAAAAUAACGUUUUUCUUUGUAAUAGAAUAAUCUAAGAUUGUCAUCUGCUGUUCACCAAUAUUACCAAACAAGAGAGAACAAUACUAUAAACAGUUUUUAAGGAAACAGAUUAUAAUCUCUAAAAAUUAUCCAAUCCAAACUUGGGCCUAGUUGAAUGCUUUCUACUUUCCAAGAGUAAAAUAGUAUAAUUUUUUAUAUUACUGAAUGUUAGUAAGCUGCGAUGCACCGGUGAAUGCACAUGGUGAAACAAUUGAAAUUGUAUAGUAGUCAAAUUGGAUAUUCAUAGCAUAUAUAAAGUAUCAAGAUAUAGAUUAAAUAAAUAAUGCAACUCAAGAUAAAGCUUGAAUGGCUGAAGUUAACUUGAUAUGGCAGGAUAUAUAAGCUAAUAUGUAUAGACUGGUGAAAGUUCCUGGAGGAACUGCAAUCAGGAUAGUUACUAAAUGUAGUUAUAUGUUUCAUCUUCUCUGCCAUCUCAAUCGUUGAUGCUAUCCUUUUUAGUUUCCAUAAUAUUUUCCAAUGUUCUCGUGUUUAGACUUUGGAUCUAGCUCCUCGAAGGUGAGAAAAUUGCACUUUAGAGAAUAAAGUGCAACAAUAAUCAUUGAUUAAAAAAUCAAAGGUUGAUAUUAUAAUUAAUUUUAAAUUUUAUUUAACAAGAAUUUGAUUUUAUCACAAAUCUUAAUUGUUAAUUUUAUAAUCAGCAAUUGCGUGUGGACUUUAUCCUUUAAAGUACUCCCCCCUCAUUUCAGAAGAGUCAAAUCCUUAGACUUUACAGUCUAUUUCUUGGGCCCCAACUCCAUAUUCUGAGUUACCACCAAGUUUCAACUUUCUCGGACAUCAAACAUCGGAGAAUGGCAAUUUCAUCUCUUCAAACACUAAUGAAAAGUGGAGAGUGGGAUUCUAUCAUUCAAAUGGAUAUGAAGGGGUGAACUUUAAAAAGAGAGGAAUAGAGUGCCCCAGCUGCUGUAGUGAGGCAGGGGGUUUGUCCAGUUCUGGGACAUGGAAAACCCUUUUAAAGUAGAGACUCUCCAUCCCAUCUUAACAGCCUGGAUUUUAGGAUUGGGGUCUUCUUUACAUUAAGUUGUAUUGUAUCAGAAAUUGGUUUUCUGCCCCCCUGUGCGAAUGGACUACUCUUUUCAAUCUUAUAGGACUGAUGAAGGAGCAUGAUUACCAUAUCAGCCAGUUUUUAAGGCACAAAACUCCCAUCCAUUGAGGAGUCUUUCCCCUCUUAGCAACCUGGCACUUAGGAGUGGAUUAUCCUGGACAUAUUGAGCUCCACCCUAGUUGGUGUAAUACUUCCUCCCAGUAUUGGAAGGGACUAUAACCUGUUAGAUGUAUGUGUCUGUGUUACAACAUACCUCAUUUUAAAACUAGACUGCUUUAAUGGGAUCAUGGGCUGACUUGUACUUGUAGGAAAUAUAAUUGCUAAAAGCUUAAGUUGUUAGUUGUGAACAGUAUAGUUCCUAAACGCCUAAGAUGCUAACUGCUGGGAAUAUAUUUUCUUUGAAUACCAACUCCUUAAAUCUUAAUCUAUUAGGUUUAGGUGGAGACACAUGAAUGUUUUUAAAUUUCUAGCACAUUCAUUAUGCAAAAAUCCUUGGGCUCUAAGCAUGGCCAGUGCUUAAGACCAUCAUCUUACAAAAUUACAAUUUAAUUAUAAAGAAUGGAAAUGGCUUGGAUGGAACUCAACUUCUUGGUCGUAUAAGCUCUUAUAACUUGUAAAGAGGCAGGAUCUAGACAGAGCCUGCAUUUUUUUAUUUUUAUUUUUUUUAUAUAUCACCAUUGAGAAUCCCAUGUUCUCAAAAUUCUUAGUUGUUUUAUUCCCUGUUUCAUUGUAUUUUUUUCUUCUGUAAAAGAGAUAGUAACUUGUGUCUGAGAUUUAUUAGGAGAAAGAGCUGUGUACAGCUUGUAGUACAAUUGUGUAGAACAAGAUUAAAGCUAUAUACAUUAUACAAUGAUUUCUGAUAAAACAAUAAAUGAGAUUGCUACAAUUUCAACAUAAAACAAGAAAAUAGAAAAGGACUUUACCAGAAAAUGGUUUAGUUUUGUGUAUGGAAGAAGUUUGGCUGUGUAGAAGGAGAAAACGUGUGCUUGUAAAUCUUAGGCAUCGUGUAGGAGUAGGGACAAUUACAGAAGGGUAAUAGUCAAGUCGUAGUGAAUAAGAGCAUGGUUGUCAAACUCGCGAGUCAAUUCGUAAACUCGUACGAGUCUACGAGUCUAGGGUAGCCAAACGGGUUAACUCGCCCAUAGACUCGUUUUUUGGUAGACUCGGGCUGACUCGGGUAGACUCGGUCAGAAUCGCGAGUCUGAGGCCGAGUCCACGAGUCUGGUUCCUUUUUUUUUUCACCCCUAAAUGGCCCAAAACGACGUCGUUUUACCUAGGGUUAGGCAUUUUUCCCUUCGCGCGAAGAUGCCUCCAUCAUUCUCACGUUUUUGACCUGGUUUCUCUCCCUCCGAGCGUUCGAACACUCAUCUUCGCUGGUACGAACGUGCAUCUCUGCUGCUACGAACGCCCAUCUCCACCGCUACGAACGCCCAUCUCCGCCGCUACGAACACCCAUCUCCGCUGCUAGGAACGAGCAUCUCCGCCGCGUACGAACGCUGCCGCUGCAUACGAACGCUUGUCCUCUUGCUGGGAAGGACGCGGGUUUGUUUCUGUUUUCUCUCCCUCCGCUGCAUCUCUGCUGCAUACGAACGCGUCUACCAAGAUGUCUGAAACCGGUGGUGGCUCAAAGUCUUCAAGCAAUGCAGUUUCUUCUUCCAGAGCAAGGAAAAAUGCCCUUGAAACCGGUGAUUUAGAUCUUGUUUUAUGUUUUUGAUUUGUGGACCUAUGUGUUUUUGACUUUUUGUUGUUUAUGUAUGGUUUAAGAUUUGUAUUAUGACAUUUUAUUGUCGUUAUUUGACUUAUUUCAGACUUAGAAUGUUGAAAUAGUGAUAUCAUAUUGUGUGUGUUCAUGUUUUUUAAUAUCUUUUAAUAUUAGGUAGACUCUUACGAGUCUAUGAGUCGAGUCUACGAGUCGAGUCUACGAGAGCUCCACGAGUUUGUGUAGACUCUCGAGUUUGACAA